rnacentral:rRNA from 1 species
GACGAACGCUGGCGGCGUGCUUAACACAUGCAAGUCGAGCGGUAAGGCACUUCGGUGUACACGAGCGGCGAACGGGUGAGUAACACGUGAGUAAUCUGCCCUUCACUCUGGGAUAAGCUUCGGAAACGGGGUCUAAUACCGGAUACGACACGGAUCUGCAUGGAUUCCGUGUGGAAACUUUUAUGGGUGGGGGAUGUGCUCGCGGCCUAUCAGCUUGUUGGUGGGGUAAUGGCCUACCAAGGCUUCGACGGGUAGCCGGCCUGAGAGGGUGACCGGCCACACUGGGGACUGAGACACGGGCCCAGACUCCUACGGGAGGCAGCAGUGGGGAAUAUUGGACAAUGGGCGGAAGCCUGAUCCAGCAACGCCGCGUGAGGGAU